UCUCCUGGUGGGCAUUUCCUCUUCUCUCAGUUUCCGUGUUACCUGGUCAGAGUCUCGUGGUCACAGUAUGGGAAGGACAAGGCGCUGGGCCGCUGCUUUCUGCAGAAGGAGUGAGGCCAAGUCCUCUUCCCCAGUGUUCGACGUCAGGGUUGGGACAGUAACCCCAAUACCGGGGUCACCCUCCUUGCCCGCCGGUCCCGCUCCUCUCGGGCCCCAGAGUCGAUGGCGAUUGAUUGCGGUGACCGCGUAAAGCGCCAGGUUGAGGUGAAGGCGCCUUCCCAGGACCCUCCGCCCUCAGCCCACCGAGCCCUGCAGCCCGGAUGCGGGGCGGCGCCUGUCACGUCCUGCAACCCCGGCCCCGGCGUUCGGGACCGUGAGGCGCUCGUGGGUGACCCACGGUGUUGACAAGGUGGGCGACGGUGACCAGCCAAGGUGCAGCCUUCUAAGCACGUGCAGAUGUCGUUGACUGGAAAGACAACAAACUGGGAUCGGCCUUACCUCUGGUUUCAAGGGUCUUAGGCGGAGUCACGUCCUGACUGGGAAGGACAGAGGUUGCACCUUCAUUCUAAUGGUUCUGGGAGCUGGAGAAGGUCCUGCACCGAGAGAGACACAGGUCGUGUCAUGGUUUUGAAAGUCUUUUAGAUCCUGCUGAGUUAGAAAACCGAGUGGAGUGUGGUGAUGACAGUGAAGCACAGGAAGAGGAGCCAUUGUUGAAGGUUACAUGGCUGGUUGUUGUGACCUUUGAGGAUGUUGCCGUGUAUCUCUCCAGGAAAGAAUGGCUCCUCCUGGUUGAGGCUCAGAGAUGCCUGUACCUCAAUGGGAUGCUAGAGAACUCUGCUCUUAUAUCAUCGCUGGAUGAAGAAAGUCCUCAAAGAGAAACAUUUGGUCUUGGUGGAAGACAAGCAACAAACAUGGCAGAAGCACUAAAAGCCACCAAAAUCAAUGAGUUCAAAAACUUUAAGCAGUGAAAAAAAAAAAGAUCUUAAUAGGUGUAUUGCAUCAAAGGAAGAGUUCUUUGAAGGUGACUGAAGUUUCAACAUGUAAAAAUAAAUACACAAUAUUUUAUA